GCCAGCAUGGCAUAGUGGUUUAAGUAUUUGGACUAUGACUCUAGAGACCAGGGUUCAAAUCCCUGCUCAGCCA